rnacentral:rRNA from 1 species
CACGUAGGGUGCGAGCGUUGUCCGGAAUUAUUGGGCGUAAAGAGCUCGUAGGCGGUUUGUCGCGUCGGCUGUGAAAUCCCGAGGCUCAACCUCGGGUCUGCAGUCGAUACGAGCAAACUAGAGUGUUGCAGGGGAGACUGGAAUUCCUGGUGUAGCGGUGAAAUGCGCAGAUAUCAGGAGGAACACCGGUGGCGAAGGCGGGUCUCUGGGCCGAUACUGACGCUGGAGGAGCGAAAGCGUGGGGAGCGAACAGG